GCGGAAGUAGCUCAGUUGGUAGAGCGAUAGCCUUCCAAGCUAUAAGUCGCGAGUUCGAAUCUCGUCUUCCGCU
rnacentral:tRNA from 1 species